AGUUAAUGAGUUUGAAUAAACAUAUAUUUUGAAAAUAUAAAAUAAGAAAAUUUUCUUAUUAACUU
rnacentral:tRNA from 1 species